rnacentral:lncRNA from 1 species
AGAAAUUGGGAGAAAUUCAUACAAACUCAUUCAUUUGUCAAGUGGGAGAGCCUUUACAUGCUUUGAUUUCAAGGAGAGUGCAUGAUUUCAGGGGAGUGCAUUUGUUCAGGGGGAGUGCAUUUGUUCGGGGGAGUCAAGUUCUUGUGAGUUUUCUUGCUCUUGUGCUCUUGCCGGUCGUGUUGAGCUUCUUUACCUCUUCUUGAGGAGCCGGUAUUUGAUUAGAGUAAUUGUGAGUUUGUGUAUGCUCUUGUGCUCUUGUGCCAGUCGCGUUCAGCUAUUUACCUCUUCUGGAGGAGCCGGUUUUGAUUUGAGUUUAAAUUUUCAUGUGAUUGGUGUUGUGCUCGUUUUCUGCCUCUUCUUGAGGGAUCACAGGAUUUUAUCUCAGUUGUGUAGAGCCGUUGCCCUUAUCUUAGGGGACUGAGAUUUUUCAUUUCGAGUUUCUAAUGACUUUGAUACUGGCUUUUAGGGCUCUUCUCAUGCCUAGUGACUUUAAUCCUUGCCUUUACUUGGUUUUUGAUCACUUGGAUGAGAUUUUCAGCUUUUACCUCUCAAACCAUUUCUUUAUGCUUGAAUGUUGUCAACACACUCAUCAAGGGGGAGAUUGAGAAAAUCAAGUUGAUAUGAACCUUGAUUUUAUAGUGAUGAGCGUUUGACAAAUGUUGAAAUGGCUUUGACGACAUUUUGGGAUUCAUGAAGCUCUUGUGUCUUUUGCUUGACUUUUGUUGUCUUGUGGGAUUUAUCAAGGGGGAGAUUGAGAAAUGACUUUGAUGCAACCUAGAAUUUUUGUUUGGUGCUUGCAUAAUCCUUUCUCAUAUCAAGUUGCCUUGUGUUUGCUUUUACUUGGCUUUUGGGCACUUGAAUGAGUUUUUCUUUUGCUUUCAAAUCAUCUUUUGUCAAUGCACUUACCAAGGGGGAGAUUGAGAGACCAAGUUGUGAAGUGCCUUGGUCUAUUUGUGAUGAGUGAUUGACUAGAUGAUUUGAGGCUUUACCGGUUGAGUGCAUAUCUCAUAGGUGCAUGAUUAUGCUAAUGGCUAACCGGAUGUGUUGUGUUCUGGUGUUUGUACAAAACAUAUCUUGUGUGUUGUGUCUCUUGGCUUGUGAUGUGCAGGUGUAGAAUGCGACAUGGCAGUUGACGGCAUGGUGAAGGUCAAGCGAAAGGUUCAUGCCGAUGUACUAGGGCUGUGAAGGGUGGACACGAGUAGGCUUGGACCGAGGGACCCAAGGAGUCUGGGAGGAGUCAUGAAUGAUCCACAUGGUGCAUGGAAGAGCAAGAGAACAUGGACGGUGAUGGAGAUGGCGUUGGUCGAGUCAAGCAGGAUGGAGGCAAGUCAAGUAGGCGGCCCGGGAACCGG